CCAUCAUUCAGUUGGGCACUCUAGCGAGACUGCCGGUAAUAAACCGGAGGAAGGUGGGAUGACGUCAAAUCAUCAUGCCCCUUAUGACCUGGGCUACACACGUGCUACAAUGGUUGGUACAACGAGUUGCGAGUCGGUGACGGCGAGCUAAUCUCUUAAAGCCAAUCUCAGUUCGGAUUGUAGGCUGCAACUCGCCUACAUGAAGUCGGAAUCGCUAGUAAUCGCGGAUCAGCACGCCGCGGUGAAUACGUUCCCGGGCCUU
rnacentral:rRNA from 1 species